CAAGCGGUGGAGCAUGUGGUUUAUUUCGAAGCAACGCGAAGAACCUUACCAGGUCUUGACAUCCCCUGACAACCCUAGAGAUAGGGCGUUCCCCUUCGGGGGACAGGGUGACAGGUGGUGCAUGGUUGUCGUCAGCUCGUGUCGUGAGAUGUUGGGUUAAGUCCCGCAACGAGCGCAACCCUUGAUCUUAGUUGCCAGCAUUCAGUUGGGCACUCUAAGGUGACUGCCGGUGACAAACCGGAGGAAGGUGGGGAUGACGUCAAAUCAUCAUGCCCCUUAUGACCUGGGCUACACACGUGCUACAAUGGAUGGUACAAAGGGCUGCAAAACCGCGAGGUUAAGCGAAUCCCAUAAAACCAUUCUCAGUUCGGAUUGCAGGCUGCAACUCGCCUGCAUGAAGCCGGAAUCGCUAGUAAUCGCGGAUCAGCAUGCCGCGGUGAAUACGUUCCCGGGCCUUGUACACACCGCCCGUCACACCACGAGAGUUUGUAACACCGCGAAGUCGGUGGGGUAACCUUUUGGAGCCUACCCGCCUUUUUGGUUGGACCCAGGCG
rnacentral:rRNA from 1 species